AUGAACAUCCGGUGAACUAAAAUGCUCCCGAGUUCACUAAAAUAUUCAUCGGCCCGCAGCGGAUGUCACUUUUUCGACGGAUAAGAAGAACAAUCGUGAAAAAAGAAGACGCUCGUGGUUAAGUCCAUAGACCUGUGCGAAUUCACUCACCCGAUGGAUUUUGACAUUUGAGCGGGUCGUCGUCUCGAACAAAAGUUCAUUAUGCGACCCGCUCAAACGUCAUAAUUUCUUGGGGGAGUUCAUUUUGCGUUAGUCUGUUGAGUGCUGCAUUCUGACGUCACAAAUGAAUGAGAUGAAUAUCCGUUCAUUAGUUUGACAGGUAGCAGUGGUUUGUUUAUAUUUGGUUGUUUGUCCAUUUUAGAAAUUAAGCAAUUAAAAUUUCAUUUAACUAUGGCGAAGAAAUGUGUUUACAAUGGUUUACCUCACAAAAGCCACCGGGAAGCAUAUUCCCUUUAUAUCGAUCGUUGUUCAAAAAAAUUUCAGAUUAGGUCCCUGUAAAUAAACCACUGCUAACUGUCAGAUGAGUGAGGUUAAGUAAGAGGAUGCAGCACUCUAUUGUGUGUUGUACAAUAAAUGGUAUCUAUGCCUCCGGCCCUCCCUCCCACAUUCUUUCGCUUUAUACUUGUUCGCGCCCUACACUGAUAAAAAAUAUAUAGUAGCAACAAACACACAGUCAUGUUGAAGUUUACCAUGCACGAUAAUAGUACGCAUAACCUUAAUAUUUGUAUGAGUUACCACAUUAUUGUCCACGCUACUAUAUGCAUUGACAAUCUUGUACUACUGACUCCCAUGGUAAAUUCAACCGUAGCCUAUCUUCUACCACCGUGGGUGCCGUCGAACGGUGAUGAACGAAAACAACAAGCAGUUUUACGCGAUUUUUAAUUCGGAUCACGCUUUAUUAAUUUAUAAAUUAUAUAAAUUAGCGUUUUGGACCAAUAACAUAGAAAAACAAAACGAAGAUGGCUUCUGCUCGGCAUGCCCUUCCCUCGCCGCUUCCGUGUUACAUUUCUAAUGGAGAAUUGUAUCUGCGACAAUCGGAAUAUGAACGGCAGCAGCACUAUUAAACCAUUCAACUUUUCUGGAGUUAGCUAGCAAAAACUCGCCAUGUGCCACCAGUGCCAUAUUUUGGUAAUUAUGAUGGACAUGGAUUUAAGCUGACUAUUGAAUUGACAAUUCCGGUAUUUUCGUCAGUAUGGGAGAAUCAAAUGUUCUUCAUUCACACAGCAGAAUACUGAUGGAAGCGGCAGGGCCCUGUAAAGAAUGAACUAACUGGAAACUCCUGGUACCAUGAAGGUUUGAUCCGUCUCUACUGCUAGCAAAAACUCGCCAGAAUGCUUGGUAAUUCAUUAAAUUCUGAUAAUGCUGCUGUCGUUCAUAUUCGUUCAUGUUCAAAAAAUUUGAACACCUAUUUCGCAUUAAAAUAUGGUAAGCUGCAGAAAAUUUGUUGAAAAUAAAAUGGUUUAUUUUA